UACGUAGGGGGCAAGCGUUGUCCGGAAUCAUUGGGCGUAAAGCGCGCGUAGGCGGCCCGAUCAGUCCGCUGUAAAAGUCCAGGGCUCAACCCUGGAAAGCCGGUGGAUACUGUCGGGCUAGAGUCCGGAAGAGGCGAGUGGAAUUCCUGGUGUAGCGGUGGAAUGCGCAGAUAUCAGGAGGAACACCGAUAGCGAAGGCAGCUCGCUGGGACGGGACUGACGCUGAGGUGCGAAAGCGUGGGGAGCGAACAGG
rnacentral:rRNA from 1 species